UGCUCGAGUGGCGAACGGGUGAAUAACACGUGAGUAACCUGCCCUUGACUUUGGGAUAACUUCAGGAAACUGGGGCUAAUACCGGAUAGGAGCUCCUGCUGCAUGGUGGGGGUUGGAAAGUUUCGGCGGUUGGGGAUGGACUCGCGGCUUAUCAGCUUGUUGGUGGGGUAGUGGCUUACCAAGGCUUUGACGGGUAGCCGGCCUGAGAGGGUGACCGGCCACAUUGGGACUGAGAUACGGCCCAG
rnacentral:rRNA from 1 species